AAAGCCCCAGGCUGUGGCCUAGCAGAGGGCUAAAAGAAAAAGCUGUCAGUCUAUGAAGAAAUCUCCUCUGACUGGCUGUCCUGCCCACUUCUGAAGCAGUCAGCCCUUCUGCUUCCCAGCUAGAUUCUGCUUUCUACCAUCCCAUCCCAGCAGUGCCACUAGCUGGGACAGAACAACACACCCAGAAGGUGUGUGGGUUACACAAGGACAAAAACCCUGCCAAAACUAAACACUCCACUGCAUACACAAUUCUCUGCUUGGUGAGAGAAUGAGAGAAAGAACAAACCACAAAUGUCAGAUG